rnacentral:lncRNA from 1 species
CUUAGGAUGAGGCAACCACAGAAGGUGAAGGGCAGGUGGGUGAGAGGCUGGUGCAGGUCUGGGAGUCUGUGUCCGGAAUUCACAGGGAAGAGCCAGCUCCUCAGGGGAGCCUGUCUGAGAGCAGAAGCGUGGGUCACUCCAGGGAAAGAAUUUAGCUCAGAAACAGGAGAAGCGGGGGAGCGGUUCUGAGGCGCCUUUGGGAAGGGUCGCUUCGAGUUCUGGCCUUGUUUCUGCGCUGUGGGAGGCAGAAAUGCUUUUCCUGCUGGGCUCCUACUCAUUCUUUGACUUGGGGCCUCUCCAGCUGCUGUGCCUACCUUAGCCUCAGCGGACACCCUAUUCUAUUCCAUGAUCCAGGCCUGACUCCUCCGCCACUUUCCGAGGGUUGAAGUCGCUCUGCAGACAAGGGAACCUAAGCGGGCAAGGAUUGGGAAGUGCAGCAUCACGUUUUAAAGCCAGGUCUGACUCCGGAGCCUCCUUAACGCCUGCACCUGCACUGCGGGGCCUCCCAGACUUGGCUGGUGUCUCCCUCUACCCCGUUCCCUCAGCCCUUCCAGUCUGGCUGAGCCGGGAUCUACCGAGGGGGUGGCUGCACAGUGGGCAGGACAGCUCAGGUCCAGCAGAGGCAGCCCCUGGGGUCUUGUUCCCACCACGACGUGAGCCGGGCAUCAGCCUGACAGAUCUGCAGCCCCUCCAUGCCAUUAGCAGGCAGCCAGAGGGGGUGUCUGCAAGCGCCAAUGCUGGGGUUCCCGAGGCCGCUCGCCUAUUAGUGGCUGGUGGCUUCACAGUGAUUUAUUGGGGCUUCUUCAUUUCCCCUUGGUUCGCUAUAAACAUAUUUAUA